rfam:Aedes aegypti strain Liverpool supercont1.72 genomic scaffold, whole genome shotgun sequence.
GGCUCGGUAGCUUAGUUGGUAAAGCGCUCGUCUAGCAUACAAGCCCCAUGGGUUCAAAUCCCAGCCGAACAC